CCUACGGGUGGCAGCAGUGGGGAAUAUUGCACAAUGGGGGAAACCCUGAUGCAGCAACGCCGCGUGAGUGAAGAAGUAUUUCGUUAUGUAAAGCUCUAUCAGCAGGGAAGAAAAUGACGGUAUCUGAGUAAGAAGCCCCGGCUAACUACGUGCCAGCAGCCGCGGUAAUACGUAGGGGGCAAGCGUUAUCCGGAUUUAUGGGGUUUAAAGGGUGCGUAGGGGGGCUUUUAAGUCAGCGGUAAAAACUCGGGGCUAAACCCCGACCGGCCGUUGAAACUGGGGGGCUUGAGUGGGCGAUAAGAAGGCGGAAUGCGUGGUGUAGCGGUGAAAUGCGUAGAUAUCACGCGGAACACCGAUGGCGAAGGCAGCCUUCCGGAGCCCUACUGACGCUGAGGCGCGAAAGUGCGGGGAGCGAACAGGAUUAGAUACCCUAGUAGUC
rnacentral:rRNA from 1 species